GACGAACGCUGGCGGCGUGCUUAACACAUGCAAGUCGAACGGAAAGGCCCUGCUUUUGUGGGGUGCUCGAGUGGCGAACGGGUGAGUAACACGUGAGUAACCUGCCCUUGACUUUGGGAUAACUUCAGGAAACUGGGGCUAAUACCGGAUAGGAGCUCCUGCUGCAUGGUGGGGGUUGGAAAGUUUCGGCGGUUGGGGAUGGACUCGCGGCUUAUCAGCUUGUUGGUGGGGUAGUGGCUUACCAAGGCUUUGACGGGUAGCCGGCCUGAGAGGGUGACCGGGCACAAUGGGACUGAGAGACGGCCCAGACUCCAACGGGAGGCAGCAGUGGGGAAUAUGGCACAGUGGGCGGAAGCCUGAUACAGCGACGCCGCGUGCGGGAUGACGGCCUUCGGGUUGUAAACCGCUGUCGCCGGUGACGAAGCGUGAGUGACGGUAAUGGGUAAAGAAGCACCGGCUAACUACGUG
rnacentral:rRNA from 1 species